UGGGGAAUCUUGCACAAUGGAGGAAACUCUGAUGCAGCGAUGCCGCGUGAGUGAAGAAGGCCUUUGGGUUGUAAAGCUCUUUUGUAGGGGAAGAUAAUGACUGUACCCUAAGAAUAAGGUCCGGCUAACUUCGUGCCAGCAGCCGCGGUAAUACGAAGGGACCUAGCGUAGUUCGGAAUUACUGGGCGUAAAGCGCGCGUAGGCCGUUGAGUUAGUUAAUUGUGAAAUCCCAAAGCUUAACUUUGGAACUGCAAUUAAAACUGCUCGACUAGAGUUUGAUAGAGGAAAGCGGAAUACAUAGUGUAGAGGUGAAAUUCGUAGAUAUUAUGUAGAACACCAGUUGCGAAGGCGGCUUUCUGGAUCAACACUGACGCUGAGGCGCGAAAGUAUGGGUAGCAAAGAGGAUUAGAUACCCUCGUAGUCCAUACCAUAAACGAUGAUUGCUAGAUGUUGGAAAUUUAUUUUCGGUAUCGCAGCUAACGCAUUAAGCAAUCCGCCUGGGGAGUACGACCGCAAGGUUA
rnacentral:rRNA from 1 species